GAAAUGCGAUAAGUAAUGUGAAUUGCAGAAUUCAGUGAAUCAUCGAAUCUUUGAACGCACAUUGCGCCCGCCAGUAUUCUGGCGGGCAUGCCUGUUCGAGCGUCAUUUCAACCAUCAAGCCCCGCGCUUGUGUUGGGGACCUGCGGCUGCCGCAGGCCCUGAAAACCAGUGGCGGGCUCGCUGUCACAUCAGGCGUAGUAGAUUUUAUCUCGCUCAGGGCGUGCUGCGGGUUCCGGCCGUUAAAAAGCCUUUUUUACCCAAGGUUGACCUCGGAUCAGGUAGGAAGACCCGCUGAACUUAAGC
rnacentral:misc_RNA from 1 species